CAGUGGCCUCCACGGCAUCUCCCUCAUGGGCAGUGACAGCCCAUCUUGUCCUGACAGAUGGCACAGCACCCCUAGUGUCCAUACAUCCAGGGACAGCUACAGCAAAAGGCGACCUGCGCGUUCCAGUGCAGAGGGGACACUGGACUCUACACUGCUGCAGGAAUCCUGCAUGCUCCUGGCUGCCUCGAUGUCUUGAAUGGACUGAAAACAUCUCCCUUUUGUGGUCAUUUUGACUCUGGGAAGAGCCAGAAGUCACACGGUGCCAGAUCCGGUGAAUACGGUGGAUGAGGACACAGCGUCAUGUUUUUACAAGCUGCCUUCCCGUUGGAUGGUGCUCAGUAGCAGCGGUCACUGCAUUUUUGAUCACACCUGAUAGAGACACUCUGGACUCCAGAGCUGCUGCAGGAAUCAUGGCGUAAGUGUUCAAAGUGAGAGGGAGAAUGUUGAGGGACUCAUGGCAGUGUGUCUUACGGGUGGGGGCAUGCACAGGCGUGUUGCGUGUCCCUAGGACAGCAGCACGUUGUGCAGAGCAGGGGACAGAUCCCCAUCCAGGUGAAGUGAGGAGAGAAGCUGAAGAGCCUCU
rnacentral:lncRNA from 1 species